UAUAUUGUUUUUCUCCAUGACUAUAACAAUUUAAUUAUAAUCGUCAAACCGCAGAGAUAUUUGAUAGCAUUUAAUUAUUACAAAAUUACAAAAUAUUUAGACAAUAAUUCAUAAACAUAUCAUAAAUAAGAUUAACAUUAAUAAAAUAAAUGUUUUUUUUAUGGGACGGGUUGGCGGGACGGGUUUGGCAGGACGUUACUUAAUAACAAUUGUAAACUAUAAAAUAAAAAUAUUUAUAGAUAGAUACAAUUUGCAAACUUUUAUGUAUACUAACUUUAAAAAAUAAAUUGUUUCCGCGGUGUACCGCGGAUUAAAAUCUAGUUGUACUCAUAAAAAUCCAAAUUAUAAUCGAAAUUUUAUCCAAAAUCCAUCAUUUUUAAACAAAAUCAAAGAGAAAAAGAGAUCAAACUAUCAAAUCUAAUAAGAAAUAAAACCCUAAUUAAACACAACACCAUCAAUCAUCAUAUAUGGAAUAGAGAUGGAUCUUUGGAUUGAUAGAAACAAAUGAAAAGGUAAAAAAGAUGGAUCUUUGGAUUGAUAGAAAGAAUGAAAAGGCAAAAAGAAGACGAAAGAUUAUACAUGGAAUAGAGAGAAGAGAGUAAAGAGAAGAAGAAGAAGAAACAAAUCAAAAGUUUUGUUUUUGUUGAAUUGAGAGAAAAAUAAAUUGAAGAUGAAAAAAAUUUGAUAUGAGAAAUUAGAUUUUUUUUUGUUGAGAAUAAAAGAUCCAAAAUUGUUAUGGAUCUAGAUCCAACAUAGAGGUUGGGUUGUAAAUAAGUAAAAAACUCUAGUUUUACUUGUCUUUUACUAUUAUUCUGAAUUAAAAUAAAUAAAUAAA
rnacentral:sRNA from 1 species